ACCUGGGUGGCUCAGUUGAUUGAGCAUCUGACCUCAACUCAGGUCAUGAUCUUACAGUUCGUGGGUUCAAGCCCCACAUUGGGCU
rnacentral:tRNA from 1 species